AGCUGAAAGUAGUUUCUACUGUGCGAUCCACUCAAAAAACUAUAAAGGAGUUAUUAUCUUCCGCAGAUUAUGUUGGAGCGCUUAACCUCAUUUCUACGGCCAAUCAAAUUAUAAAUCAUGAUCUUAAGGGCGUGCAAAGUUUUAAAGACUUGAGCGUCCAGCUAUCCGAGAUGGAAACUUUUAUUCAUAAACUAAUAGAAACGGAAUUUAUUCGAAUCAGUGUUGAACUUUCCACGGAAUGUUCGCGGACAAUCCAAGAAGACGACAAGGCGAUUCUGCAGCCGUAUGUGAACGGACUAAUACGAUUGAAGAAAACUGAAUUUCGCCCACAGUUUGAACGCUCAUUGGUUGCCGCCGUAAAGACAAAAAUG